rnacentral:rRNA from 1 species
AUGGCCUCGGCGAAGAUGACCCCCAUGCCCAUGUGGAGGUGCGGCUCGAUGUGGCAGUGGAACGCCCACACCCCCGGGUUGUCCGCCACGAACCGCAGCGCCGUCCACCCGUACGGGAAGAUCACCGCCGUGUUCCGCAGCGGCGGGUUCACCAGGUUCAGCCUCGCCGCGUCGGCGGCGUCGCCCCUGUACGCGCCCUCGCCGUAA